GACGAACGCUGGCGGCGCGCCUAACACAUGCAAGUCGAACGGAGUCAAGAGGAGCUUGCUUUUCUUGACUUAGUGGCGAACGGGUGAGUAACGCGUGAGUAACCUGCCCUGGAGUGGGGGACAACAGUUGGAAACGACUGCUAAUACCGCAUAAGCCCACGGAUCCGCAUGGAUCUGCGGGAAAAGGAUUUAUUCGCUUCAGGAUGGACUCGCGUCCAAUUAGCUAGUUGGUGAGGUAACGGCCCACCAAGGCGACGAUUGGUAGCCGGACUGAGAGGUUGAACGGCCACAUUGGGACUGAGACACGGCCCAGACUCCUACGGGAGGCAGCAGUAGGGGAUAUUGCACAAUGGGGGAAACCCUGAUGCAGCGACGCCGCGUGGAGGAAGAAGGUUUUCGGAUUGUAAACUCCUGUCGUUAGGGGCGAUAAUGACGGUACCUAACAAGAAAGCACCGGCUAACUACGUG
rnacentral:rRNA from 1 species